AGAGUUUGAUCAUGGCUCAGGACGAACGCUGGCGGCGUGCUUAACACAUGCAAGUCGAGCGGAAAGGCCCUUCGGGGUACUCGAGCGGCGAACGGGUGAGUAACACGUGAGUAACCUGCCCCUGACUCUGGGAUAAGCCUGGGAAACUGGGUCUAAUACCGGAUAGGACUACGGCCUGCAUGGGUUGUGGUGGAAAGCUUUUGCGGUGUGGGAUGGGCCCGCGGCCUAUCAGCUUGUUGGUGGGGUGAUGGCCUACCAAGGCGACGACGGGUAGCCGGCCUGAGAGGGUGUCCGGCCACACUGGGACUGAGAUACGGCCCAGACUCCUACGGGAGGCAGCAGUGGGGAAUAUUGCACAAUGGGCGCAAGCCUGAUGCAGCGACGCCGCGUGGGGGAUGACGGCCUUCGGGUUGUAAACCUCUUUCACCAUCGGCGAAGCCCAUGAUUUUUGUUGUGGGUGACGGUAGGUGGAGAAGAAGCACCGGCCAACUACGUGCCAGCAGCCGCGGUAAUACGUAGGGUGCGAGCGUUGUCCGGAAUUACUGGGCGUAAAGAGCUCGUAGGUGGUUUGUCGCGUUGUCCGUGAAAUUCCCUGGCUUAACUGGGGGCGUGCGGGCGAUACGGGCAGACUGGAGUACUGCAGGGGAGACUGGAAUUCCUGGUGUAGCGGGAAUGCGCAGAUAUCAGGAGGAACACCGGUGGCGAAGGCGGGUCUCUGGGCAGUAACUGACGCUGAGGAGCGAAAGCGUGGGGAGCGAACAGGAUUAGAUACCCCCGUAGUCC
rnacentral:rRNA from 1 species